ensembl:lncRNA
CACUGCAUGCAAACGUGGGACUGCAGUUACCAGAGGUAUCUACGUACCACACGGAUUGCAACUUGGAUUUCUACAGACUAAGAGUCGACCUCAGGGAACUCAAGAUCUGGAAGACGCACCUCUACCCCUGCUGGAGCAGAGAGGGAUGACACAGAAGAGGAGAGACCACCUGUCAACAACCUGAGUGGCGCCAAAGGGAACCGUGAGCAGUGACCAAACAACCGUCAUCUCGCUGAGAGGAAGGACUUCCUCAGCCCAGAGUCUGCUUGACCACCGUGCAGGACCAGGAGGAAGCAUCAGAACCAGCACCGCAGAGCCGGACCAGAAGCAAGACCAACAUCAUUCUAGGAGACCAGAAGCAAGACUAGGACCGAUUCAGAAAGAGUCCAAGCAACCUUCCGAUCUCCCUUUUGAGUACAGACACUUCCAAGUUCCCGAUCCCCUCUACAAACACGGCCCCAUGGACAACAACAACAACAACCAUUUAGCACAAGAGAUCCUGAAAUGAUCGAGAAAACACCCUCACACACAAAUGGAGGUGAACCACUGCUGAAAGCGCUUACUGAAGAACCAGCAGAGAACAGUGACAUGGACAACCGCUUCUCAGGUUUAUUGGACUCUUGAUUUAGUAAAUACAAACAAUUGUUUAUUUCUGUGAUAACAGUCUCCAUUAUGGCCAGCAUUCUAUUCCUAGGUGGAUGCUGUUGCAUCCUCUGCAUCAGGACUCUUAUCAUUAGAAUCAUCAGAGAAGACCAGCC